CUAAAGGCGAUGACGGGACGAGUACGCCAAUAACCGCACCACAGGAAGGAACGUCGAGACUGAGAGCGUUCUGUGUAGGGUUGGUCGGAAGUUCCUCCCCGAGCAGCCGGCUGAAAAGUUUUUGAGUAGGUCGGUACGGGUAAUCCCGUUACAGAAUCAGAGUGAGUAGGAAUCUGCUAAAGUUGGGUGGUACCGCGGAAGUAUGCUUUCGUCCCUUUU
rnacentral:ncRNA from 1 species